GGAAGAACAACAUGAAGCACACCCAUUGGUAGUAAGUGUAAUAUUUCCUUGCAUCCACAUCGCCGAAGUCGUUCGCCACUCCUGGAUGCGCCACCUCUACACCGACCUGAUAAAAGGAACAAAUGUUCUGUCAACAAUAGGACGUAUCAGAAAUAUUGGUCAAAAGGGUAAUUAGCGUUACAAAUAUAUGACAAAAAAUGGAAAAAUUAAUAAUUAUUAAGAAAUUAUAUAUCAACUAUAUGAAUUAUUCUUAAUUAAGUAUCAUAACAAAGUUUCUGAAAAAUUACUUAAAUAAUAGUUAUUAUCGAUUAGGUAUUAUAAUAAAAUUUUUAGAAAAAUAUUUCUAUAUGUAGAUUAUGAUAUGAUAUGAUAUGAAUAGUAUGGAAAUCAUAUUUAUUAAAUAAUAUGAAGGAACAGAGAGAAGAGAUUAGUGGAAGAAAAUAAAAUUUCUUAUAAAAUCCUAAAAAUAUUCAUCAUGAUCAUCAAUACUCAUAAUAUUUAUUUAAAUUUUAAAUAAAACAUGGAUUAUGUUGAAAAUAUGUUAAAAUAUAUGUUCGAAAAUGUUUAUUCUUUUAAAUCAUCAUUAAAAAAUUAACUUAUAAAAACAUAAAAUGUCCAUCAUAAUAUUUAAAGUUUGAAUAAAUUCGUAUUAUGUUUAUGACUGAUUACUAAAUUUGCUUAAAAUUGGGAUUGACAUAAACAUUAUCAUAGAUUAUCACAUAUCAUAUCUCAAACAAGUUUUUGUUACAAGUCUAUAUACCAUUAUACAUAGUAUAUAGUAUUUUGUUAUACAUUAUACAUGUAUCUAGAAUUGUUUAUAUAUAGUAUGUCAUUUCCAAGAAUGAUCUUGUUCAUUCAACUCGCGUGAAUUUGCUAUUUAAAAAUAUAAACACAAUAUAUACAUAUAUUUUAUGUGAUGUGAGAGGUGGGGGGUGAACUUAAAAAUAUUUAAAAUCAUAAUUCGAAAAAUAUUCAUAACACUUAAUUUCUGUACAAUUAAAUAAACUCGUUAAAGUCUAAAUUAUUUGAUUUUUUAAUGUUAAAUAGGAUAAUUCCUUAACGUAGAUAGUAUUUAAUACAAGUACAACACAAGUACAAAUCUAAGUAUUUAUUUCAAAAAAAUAUUAUAGAACUACAAUAUGUAUUUACUGAAGGAGGAAGAUUUGUUUACAUAAUAAGAUUAUAAAUAUAGAAGAUACAAAAUUGAAUUGAAACUGUAAAAUUCAAACAAAUGUAACAAUCAUGAAAUUAUACAGAUUUAAAAAAAUUAUACAUGAGAUAACAUUUAUAACCCGAAAUGAUUUCGUCAUUCUAUAUUUUUAUAUAUAUUAACAGCGAUUUUAAUUAGAAAUAUCGAGUAGCUUUCAAACUAAUUAGAUAACAAUACAGCCUUUAAUAGGAAAAAAUUUUGUUUAAAAAAAAAUUAAAAAAAGAAA